rnacentral:rRNA from 1 species
UACCUGGUUGAUCCUGCCAGUAGUCAUAUGCUUGUCUCAAAGAUUAAGCCAUGCAUGUGCAAGUAUGAACUAACUCGAACUGUGAAACUGCGAAUGGCUCA